CGCGUAGGCGGGAUGGCAAGUCAGUCGUGAAAUCUCUCGGCCCAACCGAGAAACGUCGGCUGAUACUGCCGUUCUUGAGGGAUGCAGAGGAGACUGGAAUUCCCGGUGUAGCGGUGAAAUGUGUAGAGAUCGGGAGGAACACCGGUGGCGAAGGUGGGUCUCUGGGCAUCUCCUAACGCUGGGCGCGAAAGCGUGGGGAGCAAACG
rnacentral:rRNA from 1 species